GACGUUUUUGUGCCAACCUGUUAAAAAAACAACAACAACUUUAGUCACCCUUUAGCAUAAAGUCAUCAAACUACGAGAAUAAAUUUGUAAACAUGAAAAUGAAGUAAAAAAAUAUUUUGAAAACAUCAGACGGGAGAGAUGGUUGGGAGUAAGAAAUCGGGCAAAAAGAGAUGUCAAACACAAAAGGUUUGAGCGUGCCGUCACUUCUCCUUGAGGUCUCGUGUGUUUGAUGUAGUGAGCAGUGCCCACAUGUCCAGCCUCUCACUGCCAGGAAAUUGCAACUUCGUCCCCCCAGAGCCCCUCUGACUGCUGGGAGAAACAUCGUUUGAUGUUCUAAAGAAGGCUUUCCAAUGGUACCCGUGGUGGCAAAGAGGAAUGUGAUGAUGGCAACAGAAUUGAAAAAGAAACAUAACAAAUUGGAAUGUGUUUGUAUCCAGGCUUGGCUUCUUCCCAGCUGGCUUUGGCCCACGAUGCAGGUGCCACAUGAGAUCACCAGCCAAACUCGUACAACCCAUAUCGCUGUCCGGCUACUGUGAGGCUCCACAACAGGUGCAGUAAGGUUAGGCUGCAGGCAUCAACAGGCAAGGAAACAGACUGUUAUUGUGGACCUUCCUUCCAUCAUCUCCUCUUUUUUCACCCUACCCCAACCCCCUCCAUCCCAUCCCUCUUGUCCCCUCUCACCCUCCACCGCUUCUCUUCCCAAUAGCCCCAGGGAGCAAUCGAGAGGUCCAACCUGGACGUGUAACCUGAGUGCAACUCUUGUGUAUCGUGCAAGGAUGUUGAAAAGAGGAGGGGAAAGUGGAGGAUAUGUUGCACAUGGGCAGCUUGGCAAUUUGUCCUUGGGCCUGGAUGAAAGUCUGCGAUGGGAGGUUUCUCUGAGUUGGAGAGAAGACAGCUGGAGACCCAAUGUAGUCAUAAAAUAAUUUAAUUUAUGAAUCUAUGGCUUUGGUAACGCAACCAGUGUUUCACAAUCGUUUAUUUACAUCUCCUUUGCUUUUCAAAUUCAACAUUUUCUCAUGAUAUGCUUUUAAUAUAGUAGAAUCUGCUAACACAAUCUGUUUAAAAUUUAAACACAAGAGAAACAAAAAUA